UCUGAUCCCAACAAUAUGUUGUAGAGUUGGGACCCAACACUGGUUAAUCCCUGUACUUGGUUUCUCUAUUUCAAACAGAUUUGUUUCUCUAUUUCUCUUUGAUGCAUAUUCACAAACAUAUGGUGUUCACAACCUAUCUCAACUCCAAACUCAUCCAAUUUCACACCCACCAACAUAUCAAAAUCAUUGAAACAAAAUAAAUGAAAUAGAAAACAAAACAUACAUCAAUAAAAUCAAGCGACCCUUGUAGCUACAAAAAUGAAAUCAAAAUCAAACAAACAUAAACUUGAGAAAAGAAAAAAACAGAGAUGAGCGAGCGAGAGAGAAACCUAUUUGUGAGAGGAAGAAAAGAUUGUGAUGAAUAGAAAGAAAAACUUACUUGUGAGAGAGCGCUACGUGUGGUGUGUGAGAGUGGCUGAGAGGGAGAGAGAGCGCUUGCGUCGUGUGCGUGAGAGGGAGAGAGCGUGUGCGUGAGAAUGGCUAAGUGAGGAAUUUUAAUUCCUUUAUUUUUUGUGAGAAUUUGAAAUUUUGCCAAAUUAAUAUAUUAAAAUGCUUUAAAAAAUGAUGACAUUUUAAUUACUUCUAAAAUAUCAUAUCCAAACAAAUUAUUUUAUAGGAAGACAUUUUAAUAUCCCUGUUGAAAUACUUUACCUGCUUUAAUUUCCCCAUCCAAACAUACUCUGAAUGAGUUCCCAUCGGAAUAAGUUGAUCCCUAAAUGAAGGGAUUAAUAGAUUAAAGAGAUUAGCAGGAAAAUUUAUCGCAAACCUAAAACUGAAUGGGAUUGUAAACCUACUAUGAGGGUCUCCGAGAGAAAUAGGAUUUACAGGGGAUAAAAACCACUAAAUUGAAUGUAACUGGUUAUAACCACAUGUUAGAAAAUAAGUGUUAGUUGUUAUUUACGAUUAAUUUUUGUAUUGAAUAGUUACAUAAAAUUAACAUGUUUUCUCCAAUUUAUGGUUCUUUGUGUAGGAAUUGUAAAUAUUUUCAUGUUUGGUUUGAUUUUAUAUAGUAGAUACUUCCAUUUUGUGAAUUAAUGUUGAAACCACUUCAAUUUCAUGCUAAAAGAAGAGAAGGUUCAAGCAGCUGGUGUCUCGCUAAGCGAGGCAUAUGCGCUUAGCGAAUGACAUCCGUUAAGCAAGGCACGCAGCUCGCUUAGCGUGUUGGAAAACCCUAGAAGAGAUCAGUUAGAGAUGUGCUCGCCCAACAUGCCACAACUCGUCCAGCAAGUCGUUUGUCUCUUCUCGCGCUCAGCACGCCCAGCUCACUAAGCCAAAUUUCACUAACUCGCGCUUAGCGAGCCAAUCUCGCUAAACGAGCCUUCAGAAUCUGAAACGUCAAGGAGCCUUUAAAACACUGAAGUUGACGGAAACUAAAAAAAGAGGAGUAAAAAAACAGAGCCAAAGGAGAAGCUAGAGCGACAAAAACGAAGCAACCAAGAGAGUCUAGGUUAGAGGAGUGAGAUUAGGGUUCUAGAAGUUGAAGGUGAGAUCCUCAACCAUCCUUAGCCAUUUUCUUCCCUCAAAAUCUGUCCUUUGUAUUGAAAGUUCAUUACUUGUAAUGGAAGGUUAAACCUUUUGGUCGGGGAGUUCUGUUGAACCUUUGAUGUAAUACUCUUUCACUAUCUAUUUAAUAUUAUUUUUAUGUGUUCAUUGUUUCUA
rnacentral:lncRNA from 1 species